rnacentral:rRNA from 1 species
CCCUUAGAUGUUCUGGGCGGCCCGCGCACUACAUUGGCACUCUCAAUAAGUUCCUAGAACUAAAACUUUGGGGUAUUCUAUUAAGUGGUGUCGUGACUGGGAUUAACCCUUGCAAUUAUUGGUUACGAACGAGGAAUUCCUUGUAAUCGCGGUUUAUCAGCCCGCGUUGAAUGCGUCCCUGCCCUUUGUACACACCGCCCGUCGCUCCUACCGAUGAAUCGUCCGGUGAAGUUCAUGGAGUGGUGGUUGUUCCAGCUGCUGUCGAAGUGAAAUGGACCUCACGAUUUAGAGGAAGGAGAAGUCGUAACA